AGCGACCUGUAGAGCGAAGAUUUGUACGUAUAUGAACAUCUAACAGCAGCUGUUGGAUCCUAACCCACAUGCCCUCCCAAAUUCUGGUAGAGUACAAACUAGUGUCAGGUCUCCCGGCCCUGAUAUCCCAGAAAAUCUUAGCACAGAGUGGUAUAUAAUCUUCCCUACCGUACUGCAUCUGAGCAUAUAUUUAAAGAUACUACUUUUUUCCAUCUUUAAGCCUUUCCUGCCCAAACCACUUUCCUCUGCUUUUAUUCUGUCUUGAGUAUUAUAGAAGCUAAUUUCAUGGUCUCCUUUCCAGCCUAUAUAUAAAGCAGAUCUGAUACCGUAUCAGGACAGUCCUGAAGGUCCAGACCAUUCUUCUGCUUCAUCUGGGGUCCCCAACCCUCCCAAGGCUCGAACUUACACUGAAACUGUCAACCAUCACUACUUGCUCUUUCAGGACACAGAUUUGGGUUCAUUCCAUGAUCUGCUCCGUAGAGAACCAAUGCUGCGCAUGCAGGAGGGAGAGGGGCAUUCUCAACUCUGCCUGGACAGGCUGCAGCUGGAGGCUAUUCAUAAGGUACGUUUCAGCCCAAACCUGGACUCCUAUGGAUGGCUGGUAUCUGGGGGGCAGUCAGGGCUGGUUCGAAUCCAUUUUGUCCGUGGACUCGCCUCCCCACUGGGCCACCGUAUGCAGCUUGAAAGCCGAGCCCACUUCAAUGCUAUGUUCCAACCAUCCUCCCCCACUAGACGGCCUGGCUUCUCUCCAACCAGCCAUCGCCUUCUGCCCACUCCCUAGCCUUGGCCCACACCAGAUCCUUGGAGUGAAGUCGGUCAAGAACAAAUGGCCCCUAUGCACAGAGCCAUAGGAACUGGGGGCCUUCCCUGGACAGUGAUCAUGCCAGGCCUGGACCUUUAGGCCUGCCUCCCCAGGACUCCUUAGAUCCCACUCUUUCUACAGACUUCUGUGAUCACAGCCCCCUGCGGGCAGGGGGGCUCUCCCUCCACCAACUCUCAAGGCUCCUCAGCCUAAGACUAUGGCUCAUGAGAAACACUCAGGCCUGACCUAGGCUUGGGAGUCA
rnacentral:sRNA from 1 species